AACGAACGCUGGCGGCAGGCUUAACACAUGCAAGUCGAGCGCCCCGCAAGGGGAGCGGCAGACGGGUGAGUAACGAGUGGGAAUCUACCCAUCUCUACGGAAUAACGCAUGGAAACGUGUGCUAAUACCGUAUACGUCCUUCGGGAGAGAGAUUUAUCGGGGAUGGAUGAGCCCGCGUUGGAUUAGCUAGUUGGUGGGGUAAAGGCCGACCAAGGCGACGAUCCAUAGCUGGUCUGAGAGGAUGAUCAGCCACACUGGGACUGAGACACGGCCCAGACUCCUACGGGAGGCAGCAGUGGGGAAUAUUGGACAAUGGGCGCAAGCCUGAUCCAGCCAUGCCGCGUGAGUGAUGAAGGCCCUAGGGUUGUAAAGCUCUUUCACCGGUGAAGAUAAUGACGGUAACCGGAGAAGAAGCCCCGGCUAACUUCGUGCCAGCAGCCGCCGUAACAC
rnacentral:rRNA from 1 species